AUUGAACGCUGGCGGCAGGCCUAACACAUGCAAGUCGAGCGGAUGAAGGGAGCUUUCUCCUGUCUUCAGCUGCGGACGGGUGAGUAAUGCCUAGGAAUCUGCCUGGCAGUGGGGGAUAACGUCCGUAAACGGGCGCUAAUACCGCAUACGUCCUGAGGGAGAAAGUGGGGGAUCUUCGGACCUCACGCUAUCAGAUGAGCCUAGGUCGGAUUAGCUAGUUGGUGGGGUAAAGGCCUACCAAGGCGACGAUCCGUAACUGGUCUGAGAGGAUGAUCAGUCACACUGGAACUGAGACACGGUCCAGACUCCUACGGGAGGCAGCAGUGGGGAAUAUUGGACAAUGGGCGAAAGCCUGAUCCAGCCAUGCCGCGUGUGUGAAGAAGGUCUUCGGAUUGUAAAGCACUUUAAGUUGGGAGGAAGAGCAGUAAGUUAAUACCUUGCUGUUUUGACGUUACCAACAGAAUAAGCACCGGCUAACUUCGUG
rnacentral:rRNA from 1 species